rnacentral:lncRNA from 1 species
CGGUUUGGUCAAUUCGGAGACAUGUUAUAUGAGAUAACAAACCGAGGCAAUUUAGAUCACUUUCCUUUAGGCAGAUCUUUCUUCUCUACUAGUCCAUACUACGAUCUAGUCGAUCCAUGCUAGGGUUACAGAUUAAUAGAUAAUCUAUAUCAAUCUACUAACCUCUCUUUAGGUUUAGUAUAAAAAUUAGGAUUUCAAAUUUCUUUAUAAAUCCUCAUAUGGACCGAAUUUGAUCGUUCUUAUAGAACUCCCUUUCAUAAUAUAUGCAGCUGCUUUUGUUCUAGUCCAUGAACAGCUUAGGAACAAUGAUGUUCUUUCAUCCAGUGAUCCAUAUGCUGCUUACUACAUCAUUAUAUGUCAAUCUAUUUUCUUUUCUUAUGACCAGACCAUUGUCAAAUUCGAAUAUGUAGCAGCAUCCACCACAUAGGAGUUUAUCUCCUUAUAAUCUGUUCCAUAGUCUCUGUGAGUAUCCUUGUGUAACAAGCUAUGAUCGAAUGCUGUUAUUAGGAAAACAUGAAUCAUCUUUAGGCCUCGUGAUCAUGUGUCUUUUCUCACGGUUUCUUUAUCUCACUAGACU